UAAUUUUUAUACUUAAUCCUAACCACUCUCCUACUCCACCCCCACAUACCCCUACCCUUACCCUUACCCCUUACACGUUUCCCCAUGUGUUUCCCUUAAUAGAAUUGAAAACGGAGGCCUCACAGGGAUUCACACGCAUAAUACAUAUAACAAAUACUCACAUACAGUAAGACACUCUCAGAUUCUCACCAUUGAAAUACAUACACCACAGAUUCCAUUAAGAUACAACACAAAAACCUCCAUUUUUCCAUUAUUCACAACAAUUCAUUCACACAACAAUCUACCCACACCAUCGGGAAAGGGGAACACACUCACAGAUGUAGACACACACACACAUAAACCUCCAUUUUUUCUUCUUGGUAUUGGGUGAAUUAUGCACACACACGCACACGGUGUGUGUGUGGGGGGGGGGGGGGGGUCGACGGUGAUUACAAAAUUGAGCGAGAAAAGGGGAUUGGGAGAAGUGAUUGAGAGAGAGGCCAGAGAACAAUGUUUCGGCGACUGCUCUGUCACCGGAAAACUCGGCUAAACUGCCGAAAAAUGCCCUCUCCAUUGGUGAACGCCACCAAUCUCACCCCCUCCCAGCUCCGACUAGACCGCUCGAUCGGCAUCUAGUAGCGGCGGCCCUAUUUCUGUUUCCGUUCCGGCCAAGUUCGACGGAAUUUGCAAAAGCAGCCUUAAACUAAUUGAAACCGAUCCAUUGUGGUCUGAUUCAGGUGAAAUCCAUCGAAAGCGAGCGAAGCGGAGUCGGUUCUUCCUGAAAUCGGAUUCGGCCAUGGUUUUUUUUAGCGAUUCUGUUUUUGGAUCAAUUGGGUUUUUUAUUUUUGCGGUUUGUUCAUUGGUUUUUAUUCAAUUUGAACUCGAUUUUGUCAUUAGUUUUCAAUACCGAGCCAGAGUCGUUCCUUUUGAGAUUCUCCGUUGGUUUUCAGAUCUAAUCGGGUUGUAUUUCUCUAUAUCGAGUCGAGUAUGGUUGUGGUUGAGGUUCAGUUCGAGAUUUCCAGUUGCGGGCUAUCUUUAUUCAAUAACAUGGAGUUAAAGCUUCAAAUUGAGGAAUGCUCCGAGAAAUUUGUACUUGAAGAUGGCGUGCGAUAAAGUCUCGGAACGUCUGGUGGAGUUUAGUCUAGGACUAGUUUAGAAUAUGAUUUAUAUUUUCGCAUUUUUCUAUUUUGGACUGUAUAAUUGUACUGGCCGCUAUAUUUUGGAUUUGUUUUGUUUUAUUUGUUUGUUUAAUUGUUUUAUG